AAGAACAUGAAAAACGGAAAAAAGAGAAAUAAAAAAAGGAAGAAGAGGAAGAAAGAGAUAAAAAAAGAAAAAAAGAGAAAAAGAAUAAAAGAGAAAAGAAAAAAAAACAAAAGAAGAAAAAAGGAAAAAGAAAAACAAAAGAAAAAAAGGAAGGAAGGAAAAAAACAAAAAAGGGGGUGCACGUGAAUAAAAUGAGAGUAGCGCUGCAUGUGAUUUUUUUGGAAAAUGCCCAUAAGCAAUUAAUGCAUGAUUGAUUACUUAAGAAUUUUUUUUGAAAUUUGGUUUUAUUUGGUAAUAAUUUCAAUCAAC
rnacentral:lncRNA from 1 species